rnacentral:rRNA from 1 species
AUUGAACGCUGGCGGCAUGCCUUACACAUGCAAGUCAAACGGCGGCACGGGAGCAAUCCUGGUGGCGAGUGGCGAACGGGUGAGUAAUAUAUCGGAACGUGCCCAGUCGUGGGGGAUAACGCAGCGAAAGCUGUGCUAAUACCGCAUACGAUCUAUGGAUGAAAGCGGGGGAUCGCAAGACCUCGCGCGAUUGGAGCGGCCGAUAUCAGAUUAGCUAGUUGGUGAGGUAAAGGCUCACCAAGGCGACGAUCUGAAGCUGGUCUGAGAGGACGACCAGCCACACUGGAACUGAGACACGGUCCAGACUCCUACGGGAGGCAGCAGUGGGGAAUUUUGGACAAUGGGCGCAAGCCUGAUCCAGCAAUGCCGCGUGCAGGAUGAAGGCCUUCGGGUUGUAAACUGCUUUUGUACGGAGCGAAACGGCCUACCCUAAUACGGUGGGCUAAUGACGGUACCGUAAGAAUAAGCACCGGCUAACUACGUGCCAGCCGCCGCAGUAA